rnacentral:misc_RNA from 1 species
CUGAAUUCUGUUGUAUACAACCUUUGUGGAUUCUGUAAAAUCCAUUUCAAAAUUUCUCAACCCUGCAAAAUGCAAUCCAAGAACACAUGGUUAUGACAUAUAUGGGAAUUCUGCAAACUAUAAACAUUCAAAAUUUGCUAUUUGACAGAUAGAAAAUGAUAAAACAAAGACAAGGACAAUUCUUACAUAACCUCUAACACAAUUAAAUGCAGAUCUAACAGACCAAGAAGAUGAGAACAUUAAUAUUCAUGAAAAUUUAUCAAAACACAAGGCAUUUUGAAUCUCUUCUGGAUUGAUACCACCAUUUUCCAUGCUAAUUAUCAACAAAACUACAGCCACAAAAGGAGAGCUGAUCCAAAGGCCAUGUUCAAAACAGGAAGAGUUGACAGCCAAAUCAGAGCCUAGUGUGACACAGAUUAUAGCUGGAAAAUAA